UACGUAGGGUGCGAGCGUUAAUCGGAAUUACUGGGCGUAAAGCGUGCGCAGGCGGUCCGCAAAGUCUGAUGUGAAAGCCCCGGGCUCAACCUGGGAACUGCAUUGGAAACUAACGGGCUCGAGUGUGGCAGAGGGGGGUGGAAUUCCACGUGUAGCGGUGAAAUGCGUAGAGAUGUGGAGGAACACCGAUGGCGAAGGCAGCCCCCUGGGCUAACACUGACGCUCAGGCACGAAAGCGUGGGGAGCAAACAGG
rnacentral:rRNA from 1 species